GGGCGAGGAAUGCGUUUCUAACGUGCCCCAAGGUCGAGGAUAGCUCGGGGAAACCCGGGGUAAUACUCGAUGACCCCCAUGGAUCGCAUGGUUCGUGGGGCAAAGGCUUGCUGCCUUGGGAUCGGGAAACGCCCUAUCAGGUUGUUGGUGAGGUAACGGCUCACCAAGCCUAAGACGGGUAGCGGGUGUGAGAGCAUGACCCGCCGCAUCGGGACUGAGACACUGCCCGGACUCCUACGGGAGGCUGCAGCAACGGAUAUUGGGCAAUGAGCGAAAGCUUGACCCAGCAAUGCCGCGUGCAGGAGGAAGCCCCUCGGGGUGUAAACUGCUGUCAGGGUUUAGGAAGUUCUGACCAAACCCAAAGGAAGGGCCGGCUAACUUCGUGCCAGCAGCCGCGGUAAUACGAAGGGCCCAAGCGUUAAUCGGAAUCACUGGGCUUAAAGGGUGCGCAGGCGGAAUGGUCAGUGUCUUGUGAAAUCCCACGGCUCAACCGUGGAACUGCAGGGCAUACUGCCAUUCUUGAGGCCGGUAGAGGCCGCCGGAACUCUAGGUGUAGCGGUGAAAUGCGUAGAUAUCUAGAGGAACGCCAAAGACGAAGGUAGGCGGCUGGGCCGGUUCUGACGCUCAGGCACGAAAGCGUGGGGAGCAAACGGGAUUAGAUACCCUGGUAGUCCACGCCGUAAACGUUGUGCACUAGGUGCUGGAGGUUCUGACACCAUCAGCGCCGAAGCGAAAGUGAUUAGUGCACCGCCUGGGGAGUACGGUCGCAAGGCUAAAACUCAAAGGAAUUGACGGGGGCUCACACAAGCGGUGGAGCAUGUGGCUUAAUUCGAGGCAACGCGAAGAACCUUAUCCUGGGCUUGACAUGCAUGGAUUAACGCUGGGAAACCAGCGC
rnacentral:rRNA from 1 species